rnacentral:tRNA from 1 species
GACGGAGUAGUUAAAUUAGAACGUUAAAUUGUAAGUUUGGAGGUGGGUAUGUGGAUACUUCUCUGUUA